rnacentral:rRNA from 1 species
GAUGAACGCUGGCGGCGUGCCUAAUACAUGCAAGUCGAGCGAACAGACGAGGAUCUUGCUCCUCUGACGUUAGCGGCGGACAAGUAAGUAACCCGUGGAUAACCUACAUAUAAGACUGGGAUAACUUAGGGCAACCGGAGCUAAUACCGGAUAAAAUAUUGAACCGCAUGGUUCAAUAGUGAAAGACGGUUUUGCUGUCAAUUAUAGAUGUUACCGGGCCGCAUGAGCUAAUUGGUAAGGUAACGGCUUACCAAGGCAACGAUGCGUAGCCGACCAGAGAGAGGGACCGGAGACGGUGGGACUGGGAGACGGGCCAGACUGCGACGGGAGGCAGCAGUAGGGAAUCUUGCGCAAUGGGCGAAAGCAUGACGGAGCAACGCCGGGUGGGUGAAGAAGGUCAUCGGAUCGUAAAACGCUGUUAUUAGGGAAGAACAAAUGUGUAAGUAACUAAGCACGUCUUGACGGUACCUAAGCAGAAAGCCACGGCUAACUACGUG